UACGUAGGGACCAAGCGUUGUUCGGAUUUACUGGGCGUAAAGGGCGCGUAGGCGGCGUGGUAAGUCACUUGUGAAAUCUCUGAGCUUAACUCAGAACGGUCAAGUGAUACUGCUGUGCUAGAGUGCGGUAGGGGCAAUCGGAAUUCUCGGUGUAGCGGUGAAAUGCGUAGAUAUCGAGAGGAACACCUGAGGUGAAGACGGGUUGCUGGGCCGACACUGACGCUGAGUGCGCGAAAGCGUGGGGAGCAAACGGG
rnacentral:rRNA from 1 species